AGAGGAGAGCCAGGAGCUGGGAGGGGAAGGAGGAGAAAAGCUGGAACCGUGGCCCCAGGACCCUGCACUCUGCCCCAAGGGACCAGCCAGGCUGAAGAUGCAGCCCCUAUCUAGGACGUGUAAACCUGAGAGAAAAGAGCCAGAGAGCUGCCAUAACCACAGGAUAGAUUCUCAGGCUUCUGCCCGGCACCGGCAUGUGGUCACUUCUUCUCACAUUUCAUCGGUCAGAGCAAUUCACGUGGCCAAGCCUGCCGUCAGUGGGUGUGGAAACAUGCUCUGCCCACAGGGAGAUUUUUGAAAACAUCACGAUUAGGAAUAAUAACAAAAAUAGUAAUGACAACAGCGGGCGUUCACUGAGAACUUGUUGCGGGUCAGGAGACUCGUGAAGGCUUCGCAUGGACCCCUUCACGGAGCUCCCACCACCCCCGUGAAGCAGGUGCGGUCGGUGCCCCCAUGGGGAAGUUGGGUACCACGACUGGGAAAUUGAGGCUCGAGGAUUUGGAGCUUGGAAUGGAUGGAGCUGUCACUGAACGUGGGUCAGCCUGUCUCCAGAAGCCACACUGAAUGUUUCCUUUGAUGCACAAACAACAAAAUCAAGAACAAAGGCCCCA